GCCCCUAUGGCGUAGUGGUAGCGCGUGUCACUUGUAUAAUUAGUGUUCAAUACAAGAAUAUGACAAGGUCUCUCGUUCGAUCCGGGAUGGGGGCA